rnacentral:rRNA from 1 species
UGCCAGCCGCCGCGGUAAGACGUAGGAUGCAAGCGUUGUCCGGAUUUAUUGGGCGUAAAGAGUUCGUAGGCGGUUAGUUAAGUCUGGUGUUAAAUACCGUGGCCCAACCACGGAGCUGCAUCAGAUACUGGCUAACUUGAGUGCGGUAGAGGCGAGUGGAAUUCCCAGUGUAGCGGUGAAAUGCGUAGAUAUUGGGAAGAACACCAGUGGCGAAGGCGGCUAACUGGCUCGGUACUGACGCUGAGAUGCGAAAGCGUGGGGAGCAAACAGGAUUAGAUA